UAGGGAAUCUUCCGCAAUGGGCGAAAGCCUGACGGAGCAACGCCGCGUGAGUGAUGAAGGUCUUCGGAUCGUAAAACUCUGUUAUUAGGGAAGAACAAAUGUGUAAGUAACUAUGCACGUCUUGACGGUACCUAAUCAGAAAGCCACGGCUAACCUCGUGCCAACAGCCACGGUAAUACGUAGGUGGCAAGCGUUAUCCGGAAUUAUUGGGCGUAAAGCGCGCGUAGGCGGUUUUUUAAGUCUGAUGUAAAAGCCCACGGCUCAACCGUGGAGGGUCAUUGAAACCUGGAAAACUUGAGGGCAGAGGAGGAAAGGGGAAUUCCAUGUGUAGCGCUGAAAUGCGCAGAGAUAUGGAGGAACACCAGUGGCGAAGGCGACUUUCUGGUCUAUAACUGACACUGAUGUGCGAAAGCGUGGGGAUCAAACAGG
rnacentral:rRNA from 1 species